UCUCGACCAAGCCCCCUAGGGUUUAUCUAGGUUGCUCAUCUCUACCGUUCAUCUCGUGUAUUCGGCCAAUGGCGAAGCCGACGAGGGCCCGUCGAUCACCUUCUGUAUCCGGCUCUGGUUCCUCUUCCCGUUCUCGUUCACGGUCCCGCUCUUAUCCGGCUCAGAUUCCAAUCCAGUUCUCGCUCUGGUUCCCGCUCCAGAUCUGCUUCCCCAUCUCGCUCUCGCUCCAAAUCUUUCUCAUCUUCCUCUCGUAGCGGUAGUUCCCGAAGUCGCAGCCCCUCCUCAGCGUCGAAGUCAGGCUGAUGCAUCUAAGCGAGGUCGUUCCCCCUCCACAAUCUAAGAAGGCAUCUCCUGCUCCAAGGAAGACUUCUCCUAUCCGUGAGUCUCUGGUCUUUAUGUUGACUCAUGAGCAGGAAUGUUAAUGAAGGCAUCUAAGAGAAAUAU